rnacentral:misc_RNA from 1 species
AAGUCGUAACAAGGUUUCCGUAGGUGAACCUGCGGAAGGAUCCGUAACAAAAUGCAAUCUUUGCAUUAACCAAACCGUGCUCUUUUUUUUAUUUUGGACUUGAUGAUGAAACCGUUUCGAAAAUGUGCAACACAUUACCGAAGAAGGCUGGCAUGUGACUGAAGGAUGAAGCGGGACGUUGAUGCCCUUCAACUGCUGAAUCCUUAGCAUGGGAAGUCUUUUAGUGGUCUCGAAACAACCUCUUGAUCAAGUUGAAAGGCAUUUGCAAAAUGUGCAAUACACAUUUAAUUUAUUUAAAUGAAUUAUAAUUUUUGAACUGAUCUAGGCUAGAUUGAUUCCCUAUGGGAAUGAUGAAAGCCGCUGUAAAGAUUGUUAUAAACAGUCAGUACAACACUAGCCGACGGAGACCUUGGCUCCCAUAACGAUGAAGAACGCAGC